rnacentral:rRNA from 1 species
UACGAAGGGGCUAGCGUUGCUCGGAAUCACUUGGGCGUAAAGGGUGCGUAGGCGGGUCUUUAAGUCAGGGUGAAAUCCUGGAGCUCAACUCCAGACUGCCUUUGAUACUGGCAACCUAGAGACUGGAAGAGGUUAGUGGAAUUCCCAGUGUAGAGGUGAAAUUCGUAGAUAUUGGGAAGAACACCAGUGGCGAAGGCGGCUAACUGGUCCAGCACUGACGCUGAGGUGCGAAAGCGUGGGGAGCGAACAGG